AUGGAGGCAGCAGUGGGGAAUUUUCCGCAAUGAGUGAAAGCUUGACGGAGCAAUGCCGCGUGGAGGAAGACGGCCUUAGGGUUGUAAACUCCUUUUCUCAUUGAAGAAGUUAUGACGGUAUUUGAGGAAUAAGCAUCGGCUAACUUUGUGCCAGCAGCCGCGGUAAUACAAGGGAUGCAAGCGUUAUCCGGAAUUAUUGGGCGUAAAGAGUUUGUAGGUGGUCUAAUGUGUUUGGUGUUAAAUUUUAAAGCUUAACUUUGACAUGGCAUUAAAAACUAUUAGGCUUGAGUAUGAUAGAGGUAAAGGGAAUUCCCAGUGUAGCGGUGAAAUGCGUAGAUAUUGGGAAGAACACCAAUGGCGAAAGCACUUUGCUAGGUUAAUACUGACACUGAGAAACGAGAGCUAAGGUAGCAAACAGGAUUAGAUACCCCGGU
rnacentral:rRNA from 1 species